UCAUUUACCGGCAUCGGUUUWUGAUCAAAUAUUUAUAGGAUAUGGAUGGGCUCGCGUGACAUUAGCUAGUUGGAGAGGUAACGGCUCACCAAGGCUACGAUGUCUAGGGGCUCUGAGAGGAGAAUCCCCCACACUGGUACUGAGACACGGACCAGACUCCUACGGGAGGCAGCAGUAAGGAAUAUUGGUCAAUGGAGGCAACUCUGAACCAGCCAUGCCGCGUGCAGGAUGACUGCCCUAUGGGUUGUAAACUGCUUUUGUCAGGGAAUAAACCUUUCUACGUGUAGAAAGCUGAAUGUACCUGAAGAAUAAGGAUCGGCUAACUCCGUGCCAGCAGCCGCGGUAAUACGGAGGAUCCAAGCGUUAUCCGGAUUUAUUGGGUUUAAAGGGUGCGUAGGCGGUCCUAUAAGUCAGUGGUGAAAGACGGCAGCUUAACUGUCGCAGUGCCUUUGAUACUGUAGGACUUGAAUCUAUUUGAAGUGGGCGGAAUAAGACAAGUAGCGGUGAAAUGCAUAGAUAUGUCUUAGAACUCCGAUUGCGAAGGCAGCUCACUAAGUUAGUAUUGACGCUGAUGCACGAAAGCGNNNUGGGGAUCAAACAGGAUUAGAUACCCUGGUAGUCCACGCCCUAAACGAUGAUAACUCGAUGUUUGCGAUACACAGUAAGCGUCCAAGCGAAAGCGUUAAGUUAUCCACCUGGGGAGUACGGNUCGCAAGAUUGAAACUCAAAGGAAUUGACGGGGGCCCGCACAAGCGGAGGAGCAUGUGGUUUAAUUCGAUGAUACGCGAGGAACCUUACCCGGGCUUGAAAGUUAGUGAAUGAUCCAGAGACGGAUCAGUCCUUCGGGACACGAAACUAGGUGCUGCAUGGCUGUCGUCAGCUCGUGCCGUGAGGUGUUGGGUUAAGUCCCGCAACGAGCGCAACCCCUAUGUUUAGUUGCCAGCAUGUUAUGAUGGGGACUCUAAACAGACUGCCAGCGUAAGCUGUGAGGAAGGUGGGGACGACGUCAAGUCAUCAUGGCCCUUACGUCCGGGGCUACACACGUGCUACAAUGGACGGUACAGCGGGCAGCUACAUAGCAAUAUGAUGCUAAUCUCUAAAAGCCGUUCACAGUUCGGAUUGAGGUCUGCAA
rnacentral:rRNA from 1 species